AGCCACCUAGCCACUUUCCUACUUGCCCCAUUUUUCCUCCCAUUUUUGAUAUCCAUUGUCUACCACCACCACCUACAAAAUAGAAAAAGAAAUAAUAGAAAAUCAUGUAAAAGAUGGCUAUAAAAAGCCAUUCAAAAAUCAUGUAAGGGAGGAGGGAAUUUUGAUCAAUACAAAGAAUUUAUCUUCAAAAAAUACCUAAAGGUGAUUUUAUCUUCUUUAUUUUACUCUUUUUUUAUUUUUAUUUUUUAUUUUUUUUCCUUUUUUCGAAUCUAUUAAUCUAUAUAUAUACAUCAUAAUAAAAGAUAUAAUAAAAAUAUAUAUACAAAACAAAUAUAAAAAAAUUACCUUUUCCAGCCACCACGUGCGGUGGCCGGCGCCGGUGACGGACGGCGGCCGACGGUCGGCCGGUGACCGGCCCCUGGCCGGAUUUACCUUCCCCCCUCCCUUCUCUCUUCCCUCUCUCUUCUUUUUCAUUUAUUUUUCGUAUUUACCUUGGAUUUCAUAUUAUUUUGCUAUUUAAUUUAGCUUUAAAUAUUAAUCAUGUUAUAUAUGUAAUAUUGUUAUCACUAUUAUUUUUAUAUAUUG
rnacentral:lncRNA from 1 species